CUUCCUUUGUUCUUUCCUUUGAUUUUUUUUUAUGUUGUUCCAUCUGAUUUUGAGUGGAGAUUAACAAUUGGAAUUUGAAUUGUUGAUGUUAAUUGUUGAUUGUGUGGUUUGAUUGUAUAAGUGGUGUUAUAUUGGUUUAGUUUGAUAAUUUAGAGUUGUAGAUAUGGAAUGAGGAUUAAGGAAAUUCAAAUAUCUAAGUGGAGGAUUGCUAGAUUGGGAAUUGGUUAUGGAUUCGCUUUGUAGUUUAGAUUAGUUUAAGGAUAGUUAUUAAUUAUCGUUAUUGUUAUGAGGUAAAUUAUUGGAGAACGAUUUUGAAGUUUGAGUCUCAUUUGGAGAUGAAGAUUAAUGAAGGAGGUUGUAUUGUUCAGAUCUGGAUCGCGUAUGAGGUUUGGUAUCAAGAGCUCCAGAAUGGAAGUGAAGCAAGAUUAUGGUGUCGUCCUAGAUUUAGGAUUGAGUUUGUAUAUAGAUAGCUUGAAAAUAGUUAUUUAUGUUUCGUUGUAUAUGAUAUUUGAGAAUAUUAUUGGAGAUAUUGGUGUAUUUAAGGAUAUUUUUCCGCUGCGAAGUAAUUUAUUUGAGAGUUAAUUCUUGUUUA